CAGAACACACACAAGCGGCAGAGGGGUGGCUUUUCGCGAGCGAUGCGAAGCGGGCGGUGUCGUCUACCGCCUGCUGUUGCAGCUCGCUCGCUCCUGUCACCGUUUGGGAUCGGGGUGUCGAAGAGGAUCGCGCUUGUCGGCAGCGGCAACUCGAUCACAGCGCUGCUAGUGAAGGAGAACGUACCGGCAGGCACGCCGUUGCUCCUCGCGCCGGAUGCUGCGCUGCUCACGUGCCAGGGUGCUCUCGACGCAGACGUGGACGGUCUCGUGCCGCCACCAGCGGAAAUGCUAGAGCUGUUAAAACGUGAUACGGCGCAGCUCGACCGCGUUUACCUAGCGUACUAUCUAUCGCUGCGGUGCUUCACAAAGACGGAGGACUGGUUCUCCGGUCAGAUUCAUCGCUUCAAGGAUGGCGGCUCCACUUCUCAGGAAGAUGCGGCUAGUUCACGCAUCUGGGAACGGUUUGCGCAGAAAUACGUAACCGCCCCUGCUCCAGUCUUCCUGGCCGCCUUGCAGUACGUCUGGGAGAGCUGCUUUUGCAAACCUGCAACGGAGGCAGACUCGUCGUCGGCUCCGCUAACGGCAGCGCUUGCAGUUGCGCCAGUAGUCGACGUUGCUGUGCAAAGCCGCAAUGCCGCGAACUCGGCGCUCACGGCUACCACCGCCAAGGCUCUCAAAGAGACUUACCUGCGCGGCGACAUCACCGGCGCACGGCAAGCUCUGUUGGCUAAAAACGAUGCGUCCGUCUACUGGGUGCUCACUGCCAUCACAGAUAUUGCUGUCGGCGGUGAAGUCUCCGUUUCGUCAGAGUCUGCGCUCUAAUCGCUGCACUUGCUCCGCGCCAUUCAAAAACUGUGUGAACUGAAAGGAUGCGGCACCUCACACCUGUCAUACUUCUCUUUCGCCGCGUGCGCGCGCCCCUGAGGAAGUACGCCCGAAACCGUGGACUGCAGCGUGCACCUCCCUUUUAAGCUUCCACGCCAUUCCCUGCACAAGCCUGCACCUUCCGCCUGCCGUGCUUUUCUCAGCGACCUCUCCCCCUCUCGUCUGCUCUGCUUACGGUGAAAAAAAGUUAGUGCGCUGCGCGAAAGAUUCCGCAUCGCUUCAUAGCACGCAGGUACGCUGCAUCUCCAUCGAAACCAGCAAACACCACUCGCCCUCCUUCUCCCGAUUCUCGGAAAGAACCUUUCUUGUUCAUCUCGCCUGCGCGCUGGCAGCAUCGUCGGUGGUGCUGGCGUGUGUCGCGGUUUUAUUGCCGCUGAGAGCCUGCGACAAGAAUGGAAGAUGGAACGGGUGCUCAAAAAAUGAUAUGCUGACGCGGAGCGAGUCAGCGUGCACUCUGCCACUUCAAUGGCAUGCUUCGCCACGCACUGAUCUUCUCUUCGCCCCGUUGUGAUUCCCUGCUCAUUUGAGAUCUCAAAACGGGUCAUUGUAG
rnacentral:misc_RNA from 1 species